UACCGCCCUAUUUUUUUUUCCCCCCCGCCAAAAACUACUUCAAUAAGCGGAGGAAAAGAAACCAACAGGGAUUGCCCUAGUAACGGCGAGUGAAGCGGCAACAGCUCAAAUUUGAAAUCUGGCGUCUUUGGCGUCCGAGUUGUAAUUUGCAGAGGGCGCUUUGGCAUUGGCAGCGGUCCAAGUUCCUUGGAACAGGACGUCACAGAGGGUGAGAAUCCCGUACGUGGUCGCUAGCCUUUACCGUGUAAAGCCCCUUCGACGAGUCGAGUUGUUUGGGAAUGCAGCUCUAAAUGGGAGGUAAAUUUCUUCUAAAGCUAAAUACUGGCCAGAGACCGAUAGCGCACAAGUAGAGUGAUCGAAAGAUGAAAAGCACUUUGGAAAGAGAGUUAAAAAGCACGUGAAAUUGUUGAAAGGGAAGCGCUUGCAGCCAGACUUGCCUGUAGUUGCUCAUCCGGGUUUUUACCCGGUGCACUCUUCUACGGGCAGGCCAGCAUCAGUUUGGGCGGUUGGAUAAAGGUCUCUGUCAUGUACCUCCUUUCGGGGAGAUCUUAUAGGGGAGACGACAUGCAACCAGCCUGGACUGAGGUCCGCGCAUCUGCUAGGAUGCUGGCGUAAUGGCUGUAAGCGGCCCGUCUUGAAACACGGACCAAGGAGUCUAACAUCUAUGCGAGUGUUUGGGUGUCAAGCCCGAGCGCGUAAUGAAAGUGAACGGAGGUGGGAACCUUUCGGGGUGCACCAUCGACCGAUCCUGAUGUCUUCGGAUGGAUUUGAGUAAGAGCAUAGCUGUUGGGACCCGAAAGAUGGUGAACUAUGCUUGAAUAGGGUGAAGCCAGAGGAAACUCUGGUGGAGGCUCGCAGCGGUUCUGACGUGCAAAUCGAUCGUCAAAUUUGGGCAUAGGGGCGAAAGACUAAUCGAACUAUCUAGUAGCUGGUUCUGCAGUAACCCCCCCCCCCAAAAAAAAACAAAAAGA
rnacentral:rRNA from 1 species